UCAGAAACUGUAUUACAACCACAUUGCUCUUUCUUAGGUGGCUAAGGAGCGAAGCUUCACGAGUCCAAAGAGCCCAGCAGAAACACCUUCCAACAUCAGUUUGCCUACACCGAAUAUGUGUGCACAUCCCCUCCCAAAGUCUGGCAGAUACAGAAGGAUGGAUGUUGGUGUUUUGGCAUUAAUUCAAUCCUCGUAAUGGGAGGAUGGUGUCAACAGACUGUGGGAGGCAUCCAGAGGAACUGUCGAUACAUAAUUAUGCUGUCUGACUGCUGAGUCAUUGUCAAGCUAAAAUUCCAGCAAAGAUCUGUGAAGUGCAUUGAAAUCCACUGCACCUUGGUUUUCUCUAAGAAGGCGGCCGAUACAGAGAGAGCACUGCUGCACUGAGGGAAGCAACAGCACACAGCCCUCUCCCCUCCAUGUACAUUCAAAGGAAUGAAGAAGGAAGAGCAAGCAGCUAAGAG